AAAUAAUAUAUAUAUUGACAUGGAUUAAACAAAGAUAUAUAUUAUUCUAUGUUGUAUAAACAAAUUGGCAAAAUAGAGAUGGAAGAUAAAAAUAUGGUCAAGGUAAUAAGAGUCUAUGGUGGAUGCCUAGGAGCUUUAAGGCGAAGAAGGUCGUGGUAAGCUGCGAAAAGCUUGGGGGGAGAAGCAAACAUUUAUUGAUCCCAAGAUUACCGAAUGGAGUAAUCCAGCUAGCAAGAUGCUAGCUAUCUAUUAUCUAAAUAAUAGAGGCGAUACCAGGGGAAGUGAACCAUCUAAGUACCCUG
rnacentral:misc_RNA from 1 species